UUCACCUGCGGGAUCGUCUGAGACCAGCCACCCGGACAACUGAUGAAACUGGUCUUGACCUGACUGCAGUUCGGAGUCGUAACCGACCUCGGUGGGCAAAUGCUCCCCUUCGAUGGCCACUAGCAUGCUGGAGAAGUGUGCUCUUCAUGGAUUAAUCCAGGUUUCAACUGUUCCUGGCAGAUAGCGAGCGUGUAUGGCAUCGUGUGGGCGAGUGGUUUGCUGAUGUCAAUGUUGUGAACAGUGUUCCCCAUGGUGAAGGUGGGGUUGUGGUAUGGGCAUGCAUAAACUACGGACAAUGUACACAAUUUCAUUUUUGUCAAUUUGAAUAAACAGAGAUACCGUGACGAGA